UUUUAUUGAUUUAUUUUUUAUUUAUUUAUCUAUUUAUUUAUUUUUUUUUUUUUUUUUAUGUUACAGGUGAUGAUUAUAGUUAAGAAGUACAUGCUGUAAGAGUGAGAGUGAGAGGAAGUGUUCAGUUAGUAAAGAAAUAUCUGUCUUUACCUCUCAUCAUAUCACUUUUUAUCUUUAUUUAUUUAUUUAUUAUUAUCAUUUUUUUAAUGUUUCAGGUAAUGAUUAAGGUUAAGAAAGUGGAUAUCAUGAAAGUAAGAGAGAGGAAGUGUUCAGUCAAUAAAAAAAAUGUCUGUCUUUACCUCUUAGUACUUUUUAUUAUUAUUAUUAUUAUUAUUAUUAUUAUUAUUAUUAUUAUUAUUAUUAUUAUUAUUAUUAUUAUUAUUAUUAUUAUUCCUCUUGGCAAUGAACAAGAGAUGCAAAGUGAGUGGGAAUCCGAAAGAAGGAGACUGGAAUGAGAGUGGGAAGAUUUUUGGACGAACUAAUUAAUAUUGUCCCCAUCAUCCCAAAGCCACAAUACAGUAUUAAUCCCUACUUAAAAUUAUCUUACUACAAUUUUCCUCAUCACUUCAAACAUUUCAGUACAGUUUUCCCCCUCACUUCAGACAUUUCACUAUAGUUUUCCUCACCACUUCAGACAUUUCACUACAGUUUUCCCCCUCACUUCAGACAUUUCACUACAGUUUUCCCCCUCACUUCAGACAUUUCACUACAGUUUUCCCCCUCACUUCAGACAUUUCACUACAGUUUUCCCCCUCACUUCAUACAUUUCACUACAGUUUUCCUCCUCACUUCAAACAUUUCACUACAGUUUUCCUCCUCACUUCAGACAUUUCACUACGGUUUUCCUCCCCUUAUCAAACUUCUUAGGAUAACUUGAGGCAGCACAGGACUUCAUAAACAAAUAGACAAGGGAAGGAAUGCAAGUCCUCCCGCACACGCUGCAAAAGAUGAUAAACGUUUUCUUGUAUUUUUCUAGGACGACAAACUAAAUGCAUCGGUUCUUGUUUGUUUAUGGCUUGUGUGAUGUAUUUCCAGAUUUACAGAGAAAUGUUAGUGGUGUAGUGUUUCAUUUAGUGUAUUUUGUAAUGUAAUGUAUUUUUAUAUAUAUACUUUAUUUCGUUUCAUAUAUCUGCCAUUAAACCUUAUAUUAUUAUACUUUUAGAUUUAGAUUUAUGUAUUUUCUAACAAAGUACUUCUGGUGCGUUUGAUCAUUGCAUUUACUACAGCUAAGUGUUAGGGAAUACGGUAUUUAAUUUACCCAUACAAGUAUUUUCUCUAAGUUACAGUAGUUGUGUUUGUUGGUACAGCCACAACACAAAAUUCACUAAGAUGCUAUUAUAUUCAACUUUCAUUUAUUUUAUUCAUUUUAUUUAUUUAUAUUUUUUCCCAACUUGUUUAAUUGUAGCUUGCAUUUUCCCAUGGUGGCACAGUGGUGGUGAGGAGUGGAGCACCCUGCCACACUCACCAACAGCAUUUUGUGUCUUAAUCUUUUCACUGCCAUAUACAACAAUUCACAUCAUUGAAAACAAUGUAUGGGAUCUUUCAAGUGCAUUUACAAGAAAGAAUGGGACAAAAAGAUAAUAGACUUUGCCAUUUAUAUCUAGUGCAGUGUGUGGAGGCAGUUGUGGAGCAAGAAAAUACAUCUCAGAGUGGUUGGUAAUAAUGUGUCAAUUAGCAGUGAUGGGGUUAAGUCCCUCAGUGUGCCCUCAGUGUUGUGCACCACCAAACACUCGACAGGCUUCCAAGGCUUCCCAAUGAUCAGGGGACUUAAGACAGAAGGCAAACACAGGCAAGGCAAAUGUGGCAAUUACUGCACCAUGAAUGUACCUAAUACAUUCAUGUACCUAAUACCACUUGUCAGAGGGUCAGGUUUUGGCCACUAGCACCAUUAUUGAGACCUUUUUUACUUUUUUAUUUAUUUUACGUUAUCUUUUAUUUAUUUGUUUAUAUUCCCUUAGGCCAGCGUCCCUCUUACAUGAGAAAAUUAAAAAGGAAAUAUUGUUUAGGGUGAAGGAGGGCCUGAGUGCUGGGCUGGCUUUAACAAAUUCACAUCAGCUCAGACUUAACUCUUGUGGAAUAUUUAGGGUCAGGCGUGUGGCAGCCAGUGUUAGCAUGGGGCUGCUGUGUUUUGUUGCUUUAAUACUUUUACUGCCAUUGUUGUGUUUUGGCAGCAUUCAGAGUGGACAGAUAGAGUGAAGAAAGAAUAAAAGAUUAAUUUACAUUUUCUACGCCACAGGUAUAUUUAAAAUGCUUCAGUACAACAAUAAGUGCCAGAAGAGUUGUAAGGAAUUAUGGGAAAAGAAUGUCAAACACUGAAAGGGAUAAUGCCUUGAGGAUCUGUGUGGUUAAUGUGCUUGGUGGUCUGUGGUGUGGUGGUCCAUCCACACCCACACAUGUCCCUGGCACUGUGCUGUGUGGAGAUUUAAAAGACAGAAAGAAAUUGGUUCCCAGAGUGGUGGAUGGCAAGAACAGCCUCAAUAAUCAUGUUGUUAGUGCUGAGUCAAUAUGGAGCUUUAAAAGAUGAUUAGAUUAGUUUAUAAGAACCUAAGAACAUAAGGGAACCAGCAGGAAGCCAUCAGGCCUACAUGUGGCAGUCCCUGUAUGAAACACGCUUAUCAGUUUCCACCUUUCAUCCCCAUCCAUAAAUUUGCCUAAUCUUCUGAAUAAGUUUGUCUCAUCUUCUUAUAGAUAGAGACAGUAUGGAUAUGGAUAGAUAUGUUUUAUACAGGUAUUACCACUUGUAGUUGUCUUGGCCUCUUGCAGCUUUCUUUAUUUUCCAUUUAUGUUCUACUGAGAAGACUGUAUUUAUAGGACAGGGCAGGUGGAGGGGAGGGAAGGCCAGUGUGUGAAAUCCUGACCUUGUGUCUGUAACCUUGAUGACUUUCCAAAUGUAAAUCUUUGUAAUCCUCAUGACAAAAAAGGUGCACUGUCAUCAAUUAGACUUUGUGUGUGGCACAUUAGUGAUUCAGCUGAUUAUUGCCCAUCAGCCCUGCGCCCCUGACCUGGGAAAUGAGUGGCCUGUGCUCAUUAGCCUCACUGCUGCACUGGAGGGAGGGGAGAGGGAGGGUUGGUGGGGCAGUGCUUGGCUGGGUCAGGGAGUGGCAGGGACAGACAACACAGAGCUUCAGUGUGUGGCUCCAGACCCAAGUGGGGAAGGGUAGCCAGUGGUGUGUUGCAGGGCUGUGCAUCAGACCCACUGCUGGACAUUGACUUAAAUUGUGGAAUUAGUACUGAUAUUGUUAACUACAUAGAUAACUUAAAGAUAGAUAGUGACUGUUGAAUUAGUACCAAUAUUAUUAACUACUUAAAUGAUGCGAAGAUGGACAGGCAGGAUUGUCGGUGCACACUCUGAUACAGCCACCAUGCACACAGUUAUACUAAAAACGAGGAAAUACAUAUAAAAAAAAUGCAUAUGUAAAGUAGAAUAGAUAGAGGAAAUCCAAGUGGAAAGUGUCUUUUAUAAGAUCAGAGGCUGCACAAAAUUGAGGUGUUAGUUAGCCCAGACCUCCAUCAGGGAAAUGAAGCUGUAGAGGGCGGAAAAAGAGCUAAUCAUGAGUCAGGAUUUAUGGUGAGAAGUGUUGAAGGCCCUUUGGUGAUGCUACAGUUAUACCCAACACUGGUGAGGCCUCAUCUAGACUACACUGUGCAGCUCAAAUCCCACAGCAAAGAAGGGAUAAAAGUCUAAUACAGGCAGUGCAGAAGAGGAUGCCAUUGAAGACACGAGAUGCAUUAUAUUCCCUAUGAGAGGAAACUAAAACAUUGAAAUUUACAUAGUAGAUUAAGAGUUAACAGGUAUUUGGCCCUUUCCUUGCAAUAUCGACCCAUUCACAACACUAAACAUGAUGUAUGAAAUCAUUAUAGGCCUCUACAAGAAAAGAAUUAGGUUCAGAAAAAUAGGCUUUGGAAUUUAGCCAGCGUAGUGCUUUGCGGUGGCUGUGGAACAAAAAUAAGUGUCUUAGAAUGUUUAGUUAUUGAGGAAAGAUAAAGCAAGGAGCAGUGAAAGCAUUAAGUGUAAGUCAUAUAGCAAGGUUGGUGACAAGGGAGAUAGCCAAGGGAUUUUUAACAAGCCUAAGACAAUAAGUGGCAUGUUCAAGCUUGCCGAAGGAGGAAGAUAGGAAGAAACUAGCAGUUGAGUGGCAUAUGAUGUGGUCGGUGUUCAGACUGUUGGUGAGUCAGUAGAGAGGUGAAGUGAGUCAGUUACGAGGUUGUUGGUGAAUCAAUAGGGAGGUGAAGUCAGUAACCAGUUGUUGGUGAGUCAGUAGGGAGGAGAAGUGAGUCAGUAAUCAGUUGGUGAGUCUGUAGGGAGGUGAAGUGAGUCAGUAUUCAGUUGGUGAGUCAGUAGGGAAAUGAAGUGAGUCAGUAGGGAGGUGAAGUGAGUCAGUAAUCAGUUGGUGAGUCAGUAGGAAGGUGAUGUGAGUCAGUAAUCAGUUGAUAGUCUGUAGGGAGGAGAAGUGAGUCAGUAUUCAGUUGUUGAGUCAGUAGGGAGGUGAAGUGAGUCUGUAUUCAGUUGGUGAGUCAGUAGGGAGAUGAAGUGAGUCAGUAGGAAGGUGAAGUGAGUCAGUAUUCAGUUGGUGAGUCAGUAGGGAGAAGUGAAUAGGGAUGAGUUGAGUGUAGGCAUGCAGAUAACACAGGGCCACAUGUAGGCCUACUGGCACCCUGCAGCCUUUUAACCCUCUGACUGCCACUUGGUACACCUUUCCCUAAUCACUAAUCACUUUGAGACACCUUUAGUUCCACAGCCACAUCCAGUCUUUGAACUGGGAAGAAAUUGCAGAAUGUAUUCUUUUUCAUCGCUAACUUUCUUGUAGACGCUUGUUAAGGACUUGCUUCUGCUGUUGCCAAUUGUGUCAUGUCGCAGUGAAAGGGUUGAUGUUACCACCACUGACCACCAUGGACCUGUGCUGACCUCCAUAAGCCCAGUGUUGACAGUAACUUGUUGUAUUAGGAAAGCAGUGUUGCCAAGUGGGCUUUUUUCUUCAUCGGUGGCCUUUUUAUUUUAUUUAUUUAUUUAUUUAUUUAUCUAUUUAUUUAUUUUUUAUUAAUUUUAUUUAUUUAUUUUUUUUGCUGAUGCCCCACAUAUGGAAAAGAAAGAAAA